AUGGGCUGUGGCCCCGUCUGCUGUGUGGCUCUGUGUCUCCUGGCAGCAGGCCUUGUGGAUUCUGGAGUCACCCAAACCCCAAGAUACCUGAUUAAAGCAAGAGGACAGCGAGGGACCCUGGGAUGCUCCCCUGUCUCUGGACACCUCUCUGUGUACUGGUACCAACAGGCCCUGGGCAAGGGCCCCCAGUUCCUCGUUCAGUAUUACAGCCAGGUCGUGUACGGAGAAGCACAGCUCCCGGAUCGAUUCACAGGAGAACAGUUCAGUGACUCUAGCUCUGAGCUGAACUUGACUUCCUUGGAGCUGACGGACUCAGCCGUGUAUCUUUGCGCCAGCAGCCAAGACACAGCCCUGCAUGAUCAGGUGCCUCUGGGACAAAAACACUCCUGCCCCAGCUCAGGAAGUGGCUGUGAGGGUGACUGCCUGCCUGUCAGGCCUACACAGAUCCGGUAG